GCCUGGACCAAUCUUUGGCCAAAACAUCUAAGUUUAUAUAUAUAUAUAACCUUGUAUAAUUUAUAUAUAUAUAUAUAUAUAUAUAUAUGCUUAUAAACUUUUAAUGCACACUCACACACACAUACUUACUUAUAUAUAUAUAUUUGUAUUUAUAUAUAUAUAUAUUUUUACACAUAUAUAUACAUUUUCACACACACAUGCACAUAUAUUUAUAUAUGAGUUGUCAGGUCUGAGAGAUUUGUUUUCCUCAUUUAUUUCCAUCCCUACAUUCAAGCAACUGUUUUGCACAGAUUGGUUUCUAAUUUAUUUUACUUUUUGUUCAUGACUUCUUGCCAAAGUUCUACUCUCGUGUCAAUGCUUUGAUGGUCAAAAUUUCCAGGUCUUAACGAGAAAAAUUUAUUGAGCCACAUUUUCUGCUCUAUCCAGACUGCUUGAGACUGACCAAAAAAAAGGUGAUAAUUUAAGGUGGUUUAUCAGGAGAAUAUGUGGUCAUGGUAGGACUACAUAAAGCAGCUCUUGAUUUGCAUUUUUGAUCAGAUUUGUGAUGUUGAGGCAGGUGUUGUUGUGCUAAAGAAGUGCAGCUUGUUGCUUGACAGGGUGUUUCAGCUGAAUUGCCCACCGUGUGAAUAUGACAAGCAGUAGUAUCAUGAGAUCAUCUAAUCUGCUUGGACAAUUCACUAGUCAAUUGGAGUGGAUCCUACUGAAUGAAAUUAUUUAAUCAAUCCUCAGAAAAAUAGAGAAGUUGGCCAGAAUAUGGAGAGUAUAUGAGGUUGAAUUUGCCCCACCUUGAAGCAUGGAAACCAUUCCUGUGAAGCUUUAAGUUAUGGCACAUUUUUUUUGUAUGCAGCUCAAGUUUUGUGGAGUGACAUUAUAACUUUUGAAAUCUUGGCUGAAGGUGAAACGAAGCAGGUGUCAAAAACUCUAAUUUUUUUUUCCUGCUUAGCACUCCAUUGUGAUACAUCUGAAAAGAGGUAAAAAUGAUUCAAAUUUCAAAAUCAGUAAACAAAAGUUCUAAAGAAAGGACUGAAAAAAACCCCUAUAAAACACUACAAUGAAAUAUUCUUCAUGUUAAUUCAAAUACUAGAAUAAGAUGAAUAAAAUCUGACAACCAAUAUAUGUGUGUGUGUAUAUAUAUAUAUAUAUAUCAUGAGUAUAUAUGUGUGUGUAAUAUGUACAUUAAACAUAAAUGUUUUAUAUACAGACAUACCUAUAUAUACGUAUAGUGUAUCUAUUUAUGCUGCAAACACAUAUGUAUAUAUCUAUAUAACUAUGUAGAUAUUUAUAUAUAUAUAUGCAUAUACACACACAUACACAUAUGUAUUUAUAACGAUAUAUUUAUACAUGUGUGUAUGCAUAUGCAUGUAUAUGAGUCAUCUCUCAUAUAUAUAUAUAUAUAUGUAUGUAUGUAUAUAUAUCUACAUGACCACUUCGCUACACUGUACAUCUGUGCAAACAUUCCGAGAGUCCAAAAGGUUCCUGGGUGUGAAUUCAUUUUAAGUGGAUAAAGUGUUGCACUGCACUGAACCACCUGUUCAGUAAAAUUGGCUCUAAAACUUAUGGCACAAUUGCUAUUGAGUUGACCGUUGACCAGAAACAAGCUUCACUACAGGUCUUAAGUUUACCUUCUUGAGGAAGGAUAGAUGUUCUGACAAGAACUAGGGGUCCUUCGCUCACAGUGGAUUGACAUGCUAGUUAACACACAGCUGGGAGUCUUGGCAGGUGCUACAACUUCAGGUCAUUAUAGACCUUGGAAUAAUAAUGGCUAAGUGGUGGUUCGACACUUCUUAAAAUUCUGGAAACUCUCAUGCAAGAGUCCCACUACAAGAUGCAAUUUAAAGACACACCUGGAACAUAAAUAUAUAUAUAUAUAUAUAUAUUCAUAUUCAUAAUAUAUAUAUAUAUAUAUAUCUAUAUAUUAUGUAUGUGUAUAUAUAUAUAUAUAUAUUAUUCAUACAUGUAUAUAUAUAUAUAUAUAUCAUGUAUGAAUAAAGAUAUGUGUGUGAAUGACUAUAUGUGCAUGUAUGUAUGAAUAUAUAUGUAUAUAUGUGUGCAUGUGUAUAUUAAUACAUGUAUACGAUAUAUUUACCUAUACACAUGUAUUAUAAAAUUUAUGCUCACAUGUGAAUAUAUAAAUAUACGUGUGUGACAAACUUUGAACUCCUCUACAGCAAGAAAUCUGUUCAUAUCUGGCUUCUUCCCCUGUGUAUUAAGACCUCAUCUAUCUUCCUUGGUGUUCUUGUUUAGUUAUGCAACAUAAUUGCUGAGAGCAGUUGUGCUGAUGGUAUCAAAAGGUGCACUGAGAAUAUGAUCGAACGUGAUUGGAGCUAGGAAGGGCAUCUAGCCAUAGAAGCAAUGUCCAAGGAUACAAUGGAACAUGAUGCUAUCUUUGAACCUGUCAGAUCAUCUCACACCGUCCAACCUAAGCCAAUAGGGAUUAGCUAUGUAAGGUGAUAAUGAUGAUGAUGAUGACUUUCCCUAUACAUACACAUAUAUGUAUAUAUGUAUUGUUUUAUAUAUAUAUAUAUAUAUAUAUACAUAUAUAUAUAUAUGUGUAUACUUAUAUAUAUAUGUGUGUGUGUAUACAUAUAUAUAUAUAUAUAUUUGUGUGUGUGUGUGUGUAUAUAUACAUACAUGUGUGUGUGUGUGUAUACAUAUAUAUAUAUAUGUGUGUGUAUACAUAUAUAUAUAUAUGUGUGUGUGUGUAUAUACACACACAUGCAAAAGAAAUCUAAUUUGUGCAGCUGAUGGAUACAUAUAUAUGCGUGUGUAUGUAUUACAUAUAUAUAUAUAUAUAUAUAUAUAUAUAUAUACACACAUGUAUAUAUAUAUGUGUGUGUGUGUAUACAUGCAUGCAUUCAUAAAUAUAUACGUAUCUAUGAAUACAUAACUGUUCCAUAAAUACAUGUAUAUAUUUAUGUAUUUUGAUAUAUAUAUGUAUGUAUGUAUAUAUAUACAUACAUACAUAUAUACACUCACAUGUAUAUACAUAUCUAUACAGAUGUAUAUUUGUAUAAGUUUAUGUGUGUUCGGAUUUUUGUUUUGAGUUUAUGUUUCAGUAGCUAUGAUGUGAGGUUUCAGUAUCUUCCCAUUGCCACGUAUGUCUGCAUGUAUAAUAUAAUUUUUUUUUUAUAUAUAUAUAUUCUGAAAAGAACACAACAAACACCUUUGAAGUAACCCUUUAUCAAAGACAAUCCGGAAUUAGCAUCUCAAUGAAUUUAUUGAACUAAACUUCAUUAAUCAACUCUCAUUAAUUCAUCCUUCAAGAAUAUUUUACAUAUCUCAUUAUUUUCUGAUUGUAUGGGUUUUUCCUAUACAAUUCCAUUUCUUUCCAUUGUUUCAUUAUUUGUAUGUUUACUAUCGUCUUCAAAAAUAUUGAAGACACUUUGGCAGUAACAUUAGAGCUACAAAUUUAAAGCCUCACGUUUUUUUUUUUAGUCAAGUCACUCUAUGAGCUGAAAUUUACUCUUAUUUGAUGAGCUUUGUCUUUCAAUCCCAUCUGUGUUGAUACAUAAACAAACUGGUUUAACAGUGGGUCUGCUUUAAUGAACUAUAAUUUUCCGUAAACAUUGAGGCAUUGUGCCAAAGUUAGAUAUCAUUCUUAUUCCUUGCCUUAUAGCCGUAGCAUACCAAACUAUGUUAUGCCUUUCAUUAAUUACCUAUGCUCAUGUCAGUUUGGAAAUCAAAUCCUACUAUUGUCGACUUUGCCUUCUAUCUUGCUGGUGGUGGUCGAUAAAUGAAGUACCAACCCUAAACUGAAAUAUCUCCCUUUCACUAUAUAUCCCCAUUCUCCUACAAUUUUUUAGGCUUGCCAAUGUAAGAAGUCUUUACCAUAAAUAUUUCGUUUUUGAGAUAGGCACGAACUUCACAGCUAGCCAUGUCUCUCCCUUCAAUAUAUUAGGCCUUUGUGCCGACUCAAAACUAUUAUUAUGAAGACAUUUUUUUAUAAAUAUAUUAACAGUUGCUAACUAAAAUUAGUUACGCAAUUCAAAGUAUAUGGUAUAAUGAAAAAGAAAAAAAAAACCAAAACCAGAGACACACUUUGUUCUUUACUCCUAAGAUAAAAUUAAAAAGGAGCAAAGUUACUUAUAAAAUUCAAAACUAGAAAGAAAUAAAACAAAUGUAUUUGAGAGGCCAUCUUUUCCACAAAUCUUGCCGCACUCACGUUUCAAUAUUAAUUCCUGUAAUUUUCCUUUUAUCUAACUUAACAUCAUUCAUCAGUUGCUUCAUUUUCAAUCAUCAUUGUAUAAAUAAUAUAUUGAUUUGUUUGCUUGUUUGUUUUUUUGACAUGAUAAUGUAGCAAUCAGAAGAAAAGAAAAGAAAACAAUUACAAAAAAAAAAAUCAAAAAAAUUAUUAUAAUGGACAACAACACCAACAACAUAAAGAAAACGGACAAUUUUUUUUGUGUGUGUGGAGGGGGGUACGUUAAGAAAUUAAGUAAUUAAAACGAAAACAAAACAAAAACAAAAAAAGAGAUUUUUCUGAGUAAA
rnacentral:lncRNA from 1 species